rfam:Haemonchus contortus, ISE/inbred ISE, WGS project CAVP01000000 data, contig: Hcontortus_20350
GCUUCUCCCGUUUUCGAGUGUCGUGGUGGCUUUUACAAACUGAAGUAUUGUAAACCCUCUACUUCACUUCGAAAAUAAGAAGG